CUGCAGCAUCUUUUGAUAUUCGAGAUGGGCUAGGUCGUAACUACAACAAUGGAAAAGCCAACGUGGAAGAGUUGGAGAGACUUGGGUGCACCGUGGUCCGCGGUGUUAACAUACAUUCCAUGACCUCAGAUUGUCGCCUAGCUCGAUAUGACAAAAUCAUAUUUCAUUUCAUUCGUGCAGGGUAAGGUUUUGGUCGUGAGAAUGAAAGCUUAUUUCAUCAUGCAUGUAUAUUGUGAUAUAGGGAUGGACAAAACAUUUGAAAUCUGAUCCGAUAUGCGUAGGAUAUUAGGAGUCUAUUAAUCAUGAUCUCAGUAUUUGAUCUAUAACUCAAAAUAUCCGUACCGUACGCAUGUUUGGAACCGCUCUGAUUUUUGUUUAGUAUUUAUGCAUUUGGAUACG